AUUGAACGCUGGCGGCAGGCCUAACACAUGCAAGUCGAACGAGUGGCGGACGGGUGAGUAAUGUCUGGGAAACUGCCCGAUGGAGGGGGAUAACUACUGGAAACGGUAGCUAAUACCGCAUACCAUCGGAUGUGCCCCGAUGGGAUUAGCUUGUAGGUGAGGUAACGGCUCACCUAGGCGACGAUCCCUAGCUGGUCUGGGAGGAUGACCAGCACCACUGGAUCUGAGACACGGGCAUGACUCCUACGGGAGGCACGAGUGGGGGAUAUUGCACAAUGGGCGCAAGCCUUAUGCAGCCAGGCCGCGUGUAUGAAGAAGGGCUUCGGGUUGUAAAGUACUUUCAGCGGGGAGGCGUUACCCGUAGAAGAAGCCCCGGCUAACUCCGUGGCAGCCGCCUCUGUAAUUC
rnacentral:rRNA from 1 species